rnacentral:rRNA from 1 species
UCAGUGAAAUUGAACUCGCUGUGAAGAUGCAGUGUACCCGCGGCAAGACGGAAAGACCCCGUGAACCUUUACUAUAGCUUGACACUGAACAUUGAGCCUUGAUGUGUAGGAUAGGUGGGAGGCUUUGAAGUGUGGACGCCAGUCUGCAUGGAGCCGGCCUUGAAAUACCACCCUUUAAUGUUUGAUGUUCUAACGUGGACCCGUGAUCCGGGUUGCGGACAGUGUCUGGUGGGUAGUUUGACUGGGGCGGUCUCCUCCUAAAGAGUAACGGAGGAGCACGAAGGUUGGCUAAUCCUGGUCGGACAUCAGGAGGUUAGUGCAAUGGCAUAAGCCAGCUUGACUGCGAGCGUGACGGCGCGAGCAGGUGCGAAAGCAGGUCAUAGUGAUCCGGUGGUUCUGAAUGGAAGGGCCAUCGCUCAACGGAUAAAAGGUACUCCGGGGAUAACAGGCUGAUACCGCCCAAGAGUUCAUAUCGACGGCGGUGUUUGGCACCUCGAUGUCGGCUCAUCACAUCCUGGGGCUGAAGUAGGUCCCAAGGGUAUGGCUGUUCGCCAUUUAAAGUGGUACGCGAGCUGGGUUUAGAACGUCGUGAGACAGUUCGGUCCCUAUCUGCCGUGGGCGCUGGAGAACUGAGGGGGGCUGCUCCUAGUACGAGAGGACCGGAGUGGACGCAUCACUGGUGUUCGGGUUGUCAUGCCAAUGGCACUGCCCGGUAGCUAAAUGCGGAAGAGAUAAGUGCUGAAAGCAUCUAAGCACGAAACUUGCCCCGAGAUGAGUUCUCCCUGACCCUUUAAGGGUCCUGAAGGAACGUUGAAGACGACGACGUUGAUAGGCCGGGUGUGUAAGCGCAGCGAUGCGUUGAGCUAACCGGUACUAAUGAACCGUGAGGCUUAACCUUACAACGCCGAAG